rnacentral:misc_RNA from 1 species
GAACGCAUAUUGCACUCUCUGGUAUUCCGGAGAGUACACCUGUUUCAGUAUCAAAAAUGACAUCCAAAAUUUGGUUUGUUUGCUUUAGUCAGACAGUGCCGAAUUAUUGGGAUUUGGGUUCUGUCAAAUUUUUGUUUGGCUGACCUUAAAACAAUUUAGCCACAUCAUGAAAAAGGUAUGGGUGAUAAGGCGUAAUAGUUGGUACUCUUUCGUGUCCAUCCCUUUCGCUGAAAGCCUUGUCUAUUUUUGUAAAAAGUUGGCUCAAUAAUAUGGAAAAUUUGAAGAAAUAUAGUUUUUUCAACCAUUGUUUAGAUCUGAAAUCAGGUGGGACUACCCGCUGAACUUAA